AGAGAAUACUCACAUUGCAAUACCCCUCCCAUUGGUUCCAAAUGCCCCGGAUGCAAGGAAUGAGUUCUAUACCGAGAUUGGCCACAUUUCUAGGAGAAACAGUAACGAAAAUCAGAUGUACCUAAAUCCUAUAGCGGAUAUGCCGAUUUACAUCGAACUCCUAUAAUUAUGCGACUACAAUGCAAUUAAUAAUCGAUAACUGCCUAUAUUGGACAUUGAACUUCUAAAAACGUUCUUGGUUCAAAUGCAGAACUAAUGACUCCUUUAAUCCUUUGGUACUACGCCUAGAAGAUCUAUUAUAGAUUCAGCCUUUGCACUACUUAAAAUGUUUGUAAUUAUAGAUGAUGAUAUUAUAUUAUGUGUAUCCGUCCUUUCUACUCUUUACUACGACAAAAUACAAUAAAUUUAUUUACUGCAAUAAUUCAUCUGCUGUUAAGUUCCAAGAUAUAUUGACAUCAGCUUGUAAUUGUGAUGUAAGUUAAUAAGUAAACAUGUAAGCAUAUAGAGAUGCCACAACAAUGUGUAUGACAUAAUGUCGUUUGACAGAAUAGUUAUUAUUUGACACUUACGUAAACAAUCAAUAGUAUGAUACGAGUCUUUACACCUUGCAGCUUAGCUGUCACUAUAUAUAUGCUGAACAAGAGUUAUUCACGAAAAAUGUCUUUAUUUGCAUGCCUAUCAAGGUAGUUUGCUGUUGGUGGAUAUGAUAGUUGGUUAGCAUAAGCCAAAACUGUUUAAUAUUUUUGCGGAUAUUAAUUCCAACUUCUUCGUGGUUCAAAGUUAAUCCCAUACAGUAUUCACAGCUAUAACUAUUUCUUUUGCCAUCGACAAAAAUACGUUGCGGUAAAAUAACACUGAUAAUUUUGCAUUCCAAGUCCUUUCAUUUUCGAAUUCUUUCAUUUUUUGGCAUCUAUUGUAUGAUGGCAACCAACCUUUAGAAUU